rnacentral:rRNA from 1 species
GAUGAACGCUAGCGGGAGGCUUAACACAUGCAAGUCGAGGGGCAGCAUAGGGUAGCAAUACUCUGAUGGCGACCGGCAAAACGGGUGAGUAACGCGUAUGCAACCUACCCUGUACAGGGGGAUAACCCGGAGAAAUUCGGACUAAUAUCCCGUAAUAAUAUCCGGGGGCAUCUUUGGAUAUUUAAAGUUCCGGCGGUACGGGAUGGGCAUGCGUAACAUUAGCUAGUUGGUAAGGUAACGGCUUACCAAGGCUUUGAUGUUUAGGGGUCCUGAGAGGGUGGUCCCCCACACUGGUACUGAGACACGGACCAGACUCCGUACGGGAGGCAGCAGUGAGGAAUAUUGGUCAAUGGGCGCAAGCCUGAACCAGCCAUCCCGCGUGCAGGAAGACGGCGCUAUGCGUUGUAAACUGCUUUUCCAGGGAGAGAACUUGGCGCACGUGUUGCGCAAUUGACGGUACCCGUAGGGAAUAAGCAUCGCUAACUCCGUGCCAGCACGCCGCGGUAAGA